ACUUUCCCCAUACCAGCUGCUGAAGUGGACCGGCUGAAGGUGACGUUUGAGGAUGCCACUGACUUUUUUGGCCGUGUGGUCAUCUACCACCUGCGGGUGCUUGGGGAGAAGGGGACAAACAGGGACCCUUGCAGAGACCUGCAUUACAGAGCAAAGCUGGGAGAACCGAGGACUCACCCCAGGAACCUCAACUUCCCCUAAGUUUGUAAAAAUGCACUUUUGUAGCUUUUCAGAAUUAAUAUAAAAAUAUUUCCUACC
rnacentral:lncRNA from 1 species